AGUGAACGCUGGCGGUAGGCCUAACACAUGCAAGUCGAACGGCAGCACAGUAAGAGCUUGUUCUUACGGGUGGCGAGUGGCGGACGGGUGUGGAAUACAUCGGACUCCACUUUUUCGUGGGGGAUCACGUAGGGAAACUUACGCUAAUACCGCAUACGACCUACGGGAGAAAGCAGGGGAUCUUCGGACCUUGCGCGAUUGAAUGAGCCGAUGUCGGAUUAGCUAGUUGGCGGGGUAAAGGCCCACCAAGGCGACGAUCCGUAGCUGGUCUGAGAGGAUGAUCAGCCACACUGGAACUGAGACACGGUCCAGACUCCUACGGGAGGCAGCAGUGGGGAAUAUUGGACAAUGGGCGCAAGCCUGAUCCAGCCAUACCGCGUGGGUGAAGAAGGCCUUCGGGUUGUAAAGCCCUUUUGUUGGGAAAGAAAAGCAGCAGGUUAAUACCCCGCUGUUCUGACGGUACCCAAAGAAUAAGCACCGGCUAACUUCGUG
rnacentral:rRNA from 1 species